AAUUUGCCGCGCGGAGUUGCAGCGUGGCAGAUCGUAUCUUUUUAAAAUCUGGGUCAGAAUGAGAGCGGACGUGAAGAAUCAGAUUAGGACCGCGAGCGCAGGGCUCCACCUGAUUCGGCAGCUAAUCAGGUAUGCAGUGAGCUGGGAUGGAGUGCACAGGUGAGACAGGUGAAGACUACGUGCUUCUGACUGCCCCACACUCGCUCCGCCGCAAGACUCAACAGCGCCGUGACAUCACGGUUACCCAUCAGGCCUUUCCCGGGUCGGGGAGCGCAAAAAGGCCUCCCUCACAAGAGCUGUGUGUGGGCCGCAUUCGAGAGAGACUCAGCCGUGGGUGUGAAGGACCAGUCCUACAGAUAACUGCCUAGCAUUAGCCCCUAUGCCCCUUACCACAGCUGUGCACAUUUAAUAUCCCAGUGUGGUGUUUAAUGCUUGCCUUGCCCAUUGAAAAGUAAGUUUCUGUUCAACAUUCUGUACUCUAAAAACUCCAUUGCUUUCAAUUUCCAGUGGCCAUUGUUUUUAACUGAACAUUCUAAUGCUGAUGUAACAUUCUAAUUUCUGUAUUUUUUUGGUCUUACACCUUAAAGUGGUAAUUGUUCAUAACUGCAUUGCCUAAUGUUAUAAAAAUGUUUGUCGGUAAGAAUCUAGGUUUGUUAUUCCCAUUGGCUUAUUAAUAUGAAAAUACAAAAAAAUACAAACUUAAAUAAAUGACGCUUUUGACUCUACUCUUCUAAA